rnacentral:rRNA from 1 species
UACAGAGGGUGCAAGCGUUAAUCGGAAUUACUGGGCGUAAAGCGUGCGUAGACGGUCAUGUAAGGUCGGGUGUGAAAGCCCCGGGCUCAACCUGGGAAUUGCAUUCGAGACUGCAUGGCUAGGAUGCGGAAGAGGGAAGCGGAAUUUCGGGUGUAGCGGUGAAAUGCGUAGAUAUCCGGAGGAACACCGAUGGCGAAGGCAACUGCCUGGGCCUGAUCUGACACUGAGGCACGAAAGCGUGGGUAGCAAACAGG